UCUUGCGCAUUCUAUAAGCAUUUAAAGAUCAUAAGACAUACAUCUUGCAAUCCUUGGAGCCCAUCUACGCAAUCACAAACCGAUAGCAAUUUACUGGCUGUUUUAAACAUCUCGAAAUCACACAGUUUGAAUAAACAUCAAAGGGGAAGUGAUGAAGAUAUCAAACACAUUUUGUUAAAUAAAGGAUUGUUCCUCUACAUCACAUCACCCAAAAUGAUUUUUGCUGCUUUUGUUCUCACAAUUGUCCUCAUUUCAAUACUUAUUCUGGACUGCAGUCUGUGUUGUCGUAAAAAAGGAAUAAUGUAUUUGUUGUUGACUUGUGGAAAGAAAAAGGAGUGCAAAGAUUGCAUCAAAAGCAAGCAAACUAUGAUCGAAAUGAUUGUGUAGAUUGUUGCAAAG